GAACCGUGCACGGAUCUAAUUUGCAUGUUGAAUUUAUGUUGUUAGGUAUAUUUGCUUGAUUAAGUGGUACUAUUAUGAGGACCCAAGUGCCAUGUUUAACUGAAAAUCAAGAUGCUGAAAAUUAACAAAGGAAUAAGGAAUAAAGAACAGUGUGGCAGCUUUCCGGCUUGCCAGAGUGAUAAGAAGAAGCCGAAUCCUGGAGAAGCUUGUAAAGUGUGGCCCUGGGUGAAGGAUUGUGGCUAACAGGAGACUAUCAUCCACUGCUGAACGGAUGCUAAGGAAAAUGAUAUUCCUUAGCGAAAGGAAUCGAGAGCCCUGACAUUCUCCACACACUGCUAAGAAAAUGGGCUGAAGGCUGCCGGGUGGUGCACACCCGCCGUCCCUGCAACCCCAGAGGCCAAGAUCUGCUGGAGCCUCUGAUUCAUUUUCCAUGGGAUGUGAUUGUUCUGAAAUUCCAAUUUCUCUCACGAUUCUCUUCAAAUCGUCAAAGAUACCCUGGCACUUCUUUGUUUGUGUUACACCCCACGGACUGCUUGUGGAAUGUAAAAGUUGGACCAAAU
rnacentral:lncRNA from 1 species